rnacentral:rRNA from 1 species
UCCUGAUGACCGAUAGCGGAUCAGUACCGUGAGGGAAUGGUGAAAAGUACCCCGGGAGGGGAGUGAAAUAGUACCUGAAACCGUGUGCUUACAAGCCGUCGGAGCCUUUUGGGGUGACGGCGUGCCUUUUGAAGAAUGAGCCUGCGAGUUAGUGUUACGUCGCGAGAUUAACCCGUGUGGGGUAGUCGUAGCGAUCAGUUGAAAAUGGAGGGGAUGAGCUGUGGGUAGGGGUGAAAGGCCAAUCAAACUCCGUGAUAGCUGGUUCUCCCCGAAAUGCAUUUAGGUGCAGCGUCGUGUGUUGCUUGCUGGAGGUAGAGCUACUGGAUGGCUGAUGGGCCCUACAAGGUUACUGACGUCAACCAAACUCCGAAUGCCAGUCAAGUGUAAGCGCGGCAGUGAGACUGGCUUAGAAGCAGCCAUCCUUGAAAGAGUGCGUAAUAGCUCACUGGUCAAGUGAUUCCGCGCCGAUAAUGUAGCGGGGCUCAAGUACACCGCCGAAGUUGUGGCAUGACACCGUAUAGCUGAGCCGUUUGUGGUUGAGGUGGUGUUGUGGGUAGGGGAGCGUCGUUGGGGUAGUGAAGCAGAAACCCGUCCGCCGGAUGAUCAAGGGUUCCAGGGUCAAGCUAAUCUGCCCUGGGUGAGUCGGGACCUAAGGCGAGGCCGACAGGCGUAGUCGAUGGAUAACGGGUUGAUAUUCCCGUACCGGCGAAAAACCGUCCAUACUGAACCGGGGAUACUAACCACCCGAACCACCAUGAUUGGAUCCCUCUUUGAGGGUGAUGGCGUGUGUGGGGAGCGUGGGACCUGAUCCGGGGAGGUAAGCGUAUUAACAGGUGUGACGCAGGAAGGUAGCCAAGCCAGGCGAUGGUUGUCCUGGUCUAAGCAUGUAGGGUGGGUCGUUGGUAAAUCCGCGGCCCGUGUGCCUGAGGUGUGAUGGGACUCUCUUAGGUGAGGGAAUUUGGUGAUCCUAUGCUGCCGAGAAAAGCAUCGACGUGAGGUUUUAGUCGCCCGUACCCUAAACCGACACAGGUGAUCAGGUAGAGAAUACUAAGGCGUUCGAGAGAAUCAUGGUUAAGGAACUCGGCAAAAUGCCCCCGUAACUUCGGGAGAAGGGGG